GCUAAUACCGCAUAACGCCUACGGGCCAAAGAGGGGGACCUUCGGGCCUCUCGCGUCAAGAUAUGCCUAGGUGGGAUUAGCUAGUUGGUGAGGUAAUGGCUCACCAAGGCGACGAUCCCUAGCUGGUCUGAGAGGAUGAUCAGCCACACUGGAACUGAGACACGGUCCAGACUCCUACGGGAGGCAGCAGUGGGGAAUAUUGCACAAUGGGCGAAAGCCUGAUGCAGCCAUGCCGCGUGUAUGAAGAAGGCCUUCGGGUUGUAAAGUACUUUCAGUUGUGAGGAAGGGUGUGCAGUUAAUAGCUGCGCAUCUUGACGUUAGCAACAGAAGAAGCACCGGCUAACUCCGUGCCAGCAGCCGCGGUAAUACGGAGGGUGCGAGCGUUAAUCGGAAUUACUGGGCGUAAAGCGCAUGCAGGUGGUUCAUUAAGUCAGAUGUGAAAGCCCGGGGCUCAACCUCGGAACUGCAUUUGAAACUGGUGAACUAGAGUACUGUAGAGGGGGGUAGAAUUUCAGGUGUAGCGGUGAAAUGCGUAGAGAUCUGAAGGAAUACCAGUGGCGAAGGCGGCCCCCUGGA
rnacentral:rRNA from 1 species